UACGAACCGUGCAAGCGUUAUUCGGAAUCACUGGGCAUAAAGGGCGCGUAGGCGGCUUCGCAAGUCAGGGGUGAAAUCCGGCAGCUUAACUGUCGCAGUGCCUUUGAUACUGUGAAGCUCGAGGGAGGUAGGGGUCUGUGGAACUUCCGGUGGAGCGGUGAAAUGCGUUGAUAUCGGAAGGAACGCCGGUGGCGAAGGCGGCAUUCUGGACCGAUAUUGACGCUGAGGAGCGAAAGCCAGGGGAGCAAACGGG
rnacentral:rRNA from 1 species